rnacentral:rRNA from 1 species
GGACUACUGGGGUUUCUAAUCCUGUUUGCUCCCCACGCUUUCGCACCUCAGCGUCAAUACCAGUCCAGUGAGCCGCCUUCGCCACUGGUGUUCUUCCGAAUAUCUACGAAUUUCACCUCUACACUCGGAAUUCCACUCACCUCUCCUGGAUUCAAGCGAUGCAGUCUUAAAGGCAAUUCUGGAGUUGAGCUCCAGGCUUUCACCUCUAACUUACAAAGCCGCCUACGUGCGCUUUACGCCCAGUAAUUCCGAAUAACGCUAGCUCCCUCCGUAUUACCGCGGCUGCUGGCAC